GACAUUUCAAAAUGUCUCACUUUCAACAUUUGAUUUGUUAUCUAUAUUCUAUUGUAAAUAAAAUAUAAGUUUAGGAGUUUUUGAAAAUUAUUCCAUUUUUUACUCACAAUUUGUACAGUGUCUUAACUUUUUUGAAAUCAGGUUUGUAGAAUCAGCACAGCUUUAUUGGCAUGACUUUAAACAGUUCUUUUAGUUUCUUUAUUAUUACCAUUUCCCAUAUUUUAGAAUACCAGUAAAGUUACAACACUAUGAAAUAACACAAUUUAUUUGAGUAUGUAGCAACCAACUUCAUGAGGUACAGAAAUCAAUAUAAUAUGCUGAUUUGGUUCUUUUAUCUAUGUUGAAAAUAUUGAACAUAUGUACAGUAUACACACACACACACACACACACACAGAUAGAAAUCAUCUCUGAUAGUAUAUGUCCUAUAUUUUAAUAAAUAUUGCUCAAACUGUGGCAAAUCAAAUUAUAAUUAGGUUUCAUAGAGGCAAUGUGGUCAUCUCUCAAAAUAAUUUGGAUUUCUUGUUGUCAUCUAGUUUAAGGAAGUCAGUCUAUUUUCUGUCUGCCUCUGUCAGUGGGGGUGGUCUGUGCAGCUCUGGUAACAGGAAGUGGUUGGCAGAGAGCCCAGGUCAUCCAGUAUGACAGAGAGUCUGGCACAGCUCAUAUCAGAUACUGUAUGUAGAUAAUGGAGGUUAUGACACCGUGAACAGCGCCACCUUCAGGCAGAUCAGGUCAGACUUUGUAACGUUGCCAUUCCAGGCAGCAGAGGUUCUGCUGGACAACAUCACUCCUUUGCCAGGAGAGGAGUUGUUUUCUCUGGAGGCCAAAGCAUCGCUGGAGAAAUUAACUGCAAAUAUGACCUUUAUCAUCAAGGUGACAGGCAGUCAAGACGGCCUUCCUCUGGUGCACAUGUGGAAACAGGCAGGAG